GACAGAGGGGGCAAGCGUUGCUCGGAAUCACUGGGCGUAAAGGGCGCGUAGGCGGGUCGCCAAGUCGGUCGUGAAAUCUCCGGGCUCAACCCGGAGGAGUCGGCCGAAACUGGUGUUCUUGAGGGAGGCAGAGGAGUCUGGAAUUCCCGGUGUAGCGGUGAAAUGUGUAGAGAUCGGGAGGAACACCGGUGGCGAAGGCGGGACUCUGGGCCUACCCUGACGCUGAGGCGCGAAGGCGUGGGGAGCAAACGGG
rnacentral:rRNA from 1 species